GCACCCAUAGCACAACUGGAUAAUGCGUUGCCCUCCGAAGGCAGAGAUUACAGGUUCGACUCCUGUUGGGUGCGCCA
rnacentral:tRNA from 1 species